UGUUGUUAAGUGUUGGUCGGAUUGUGAAGCCAGAAAUGGUGAUUAAUUUGAAAAAGGCUUUUCUUCGCCAAAACAAAUUACUGAAUCACUGUGCCAUUCAAUAACAGCUGCUGUGAAAAAUGAUUGGUCUCCUUAGCCAAGUGAUCUCCCCUUUCCGUCAAACAAUUGGGGGUGUGGAGGUAGAGAUGGUGAAUCCAGCCUCAACCCUGUUUGUGUCAUUGUGAUGUUCCUCUCUAAAUUGCGGCGCCUUCUGUUCUCCAACUUGGUACAAUAUAGGAGGUGGAUCACUGUUGCCCAAGCAACACAAGAAGAACAGAUAAAACAAAUAAAUUGCACCCAUGCCUGAAGUAGGAUUCGAACCAGUGAUCUUCAUGGAACGCUGCCAACUCUUUGACUACCAUACAGAUGGACGACUUGUUCCGUCACUCUAUUUUCGAUCUUCUAGUUUUUAUUCUAGUUUCGUCAUUCAAGUUUACAAUCUCCCUUAAUGCAUUAGGAUGAGGUUUCGAUUUGAGAAAAUAUUUUUGUCAUUGGCGUUUUGCCACAAACCAAGUGAUAAUUCUCCAAAUUAAUGAAAUACAGCUCAAUGAUUACUGGAUCUAUGGAAGUGAAAUUUUUAUUUCUGAGAGUAAAUACAGGAGAGAAAUUUCUUCGAAUUUCAAUAAACGCAAGUUUUUAUAUAUAAAAGAAAGAAAAAAAGCAAGAUGUGUAUU